rnacentral:snRNA from 1 species
GUGCUCACUUUGGUAGUACAUAUAUUAAAAUUAGAAUGAUACAGAGAAGAUUAGCAUGGCCCCUGUGAAAGGAUGACAUGCAAAUUCAUGAAGCAUUCCAUAUUUUU